rnacentral:rRNA from 1 species
UACGAAGGGGGGCUAGCGUUGCUCGGAAUUACUGGGCGUAAAGGGCGCGUAGGCGGGUCGUUUAGUUAGAGGUGAAAGCCCAGGGCUCAACCCUGGAAUUGCCUUUAAUACUGGCGGCCUUGAGUAUGGCAGAGGUGUGUGGAACUCCGAGUGUAGAGGUGAAAUUCGUAGAUAUUCGGAAGAACACCAGUGGCGAAGGCGACACACUGGGCCAUUACUGACGCUGAGGCGCGAAAGCGUGGGGAGCGAACAGG